rnacentral:rRNA from 1 species
AACGAACGCUGGCGGCAUGCCUAACACAUGCAAGUCGAACGAGACCUUCGGGUCUAGUGGCGCACGGGUGCGUAACGCGUGGGAAUUUGCCUCGGGGUACGGAAUAAACUCAGGGAAACUAGAGCUAAUACCGUAUGAUGUCUUCGGACCAAAGAUUUAUCGCCCUGAGAUAAGCCCGCGUAGGAUUAGCUAGUUAGUGAGGUAAGAGCUCACCAAGGCGACGAUCCUUAGCUGGUCUGAGAGGAUGAUCAGCCACACUGGGACUGAGACACGGCCCAGACUCCUACGGGAGGCAGC